AUUGAACGCUGGCGGCAGGCCUAACACAUGCAAGUCGGACGGUAGCACAGAGAGCUUGCUCUUGGGUGACGAGUGGCGGACGGGUGAGUAAUGUCUGGGGAUCUGCCCGAUAGAGGGGGAUAACCACGGGAAACGGUGGCUAAUACCGCAUAACGUCGCAAGACCAAAGAGGGGGACCUUCGGGCCUCCCACUAUCGGAUGAACCCAGAUGGGAUUAGCUAGUAGGAGGGGUAAUGGCCCACCUAGGCGACGAUCCCUCGCUGGUCUGAGAGGCUGACCAGCCACACUGGAACUGAGACACGGUCCAGACUCCUACGGGAGGCAGCAGUGGGGAAUAUUGCACAAUGGACGCAAGCCUGAUGCAGCCAGGCCGCGUGUAUGAAGAAGGCCAUCGGGUUGUAAAGUACUUUCAGCGUGGAGGAAGGCGGUACGGUUAAUAACCGUACCGAUUGACGUUACCCGCAGAAGAAGCACCGGCUAACUCCGUGCCAGCCGCCGCAGUAA
rnacentral:rRNA from 1 species